CUAUAUGAUUCAUGGCCGUUAAUUGUCGCAGUUCAUUCAGCAGAUUUUAUAAAUCAAUUAUCAUAAAUUUUUUUGACAGAACUGACUGAAUUCAAACUACUAAAUCAAAUUUUAAAUUCACGUAACAAUUAAAGCGAUUGAAAUCAGACUUCAAGUUAAAUUUAUUGACGUUUAUUGAUGAAUGUAUGAAUUAAAUUUAUUUUAAUAGAUUUAAUGAUAAUUAAAUACAAGAACUAAAAUAUGGUUUGUUGCGACAAGUAAUUAUUUCUAGAAAAAAAAAAAUGCCUUUAAAUAAUUGUGUUUAAUUGCAAUUUUAAUGAAUUAAUUAAAAAUCUAAAUGUCAAGAAGUUGGAAUACAGUAAAGAAUAAUUUUUUUAAAUUAAAAGCGUAAACGUGUUAAGAAAAUAAUUCAAGACCUUCAACAAUGGAAUGCAAAUUAAUUGGAAUGAACAAAAAGGUGAUUGUAGCAACGUUGGAUAAGAAAUGACAAUUAUGUCUGUAAUGGAAAUAAGAAAAUGAAUAUAACAUUUCUGAACAAUGGAUACAAUAAUAUUACUGGAAAGGAUGCAUUGAAGAUCUGCUGUUAGAUGAAAUGAAGUAACGUACAUACUACACGCAAUGUAGAGAAAAAAAGAUAAGACGUCUAGCCGAUCCUUAUUUCCUUCCUUUCCAGACAACUGCAAUUCAACUGCUGAACUCAAUUCCGUCGACAAUCGCGUCACGACUUUGUGUGAAAAAAAAAAAACAAUCUGAUAAAGAAAAUUAUCGAAAAUUUAAAACGAUGAAGCUAUGAUAAAUCUGAAAUAUUUACUAUUUUGAAGGUAGAAAUUCAACUUUUUACCUUAUAAAUUUACAAUAAAUUAAAUAAAUGAAUGCUCAAAUCGUCAAGCUUUACAGUUCUCCCUUGAACUAUACUUAAUAUUAGGGUCCUGGAGUAAAAUACGUCGGAAUAAAUUUUUCAACAAACACUCUUAUUGCGCUUUAUCGGAUUUUAUCGCACCCUAUACCAAUGAUGUUAAAAGCUUUUCUAUACUUUAUGCAAAUAA